CGGCGGCGCGAGCCCGCCGGCGGAACAUCUAUCUACGUUCGCGGCACAGCUCAGGGGGAACCGUCGAAGGGGGUCAAACUGAGGGCAGAGACGGAGACAAUGACAUGGAGAAGACAAUCGCAAUACAAGGGCCCUGUCAUCGGGGAAAUCCUACUUUGUGGAAUAUUCAGACAGCAAUAUGAAAGAUGUUGGCGUUCCACUCCGGGACAACCGUCCGUGGGAGAGGAACCUCCGCCAGCCGCGAGCAGCACAGUACAUAAAUCUCCUCGUCCCCUUCGGGCCUGCGACCUGGAGCUAACCCCACCCCGACACUCACUGGAAGACGGUCUUUUAAUAAUUUACGGCCCUUUGUCUGUGAUCGGGUUUCACAACUGAGCUUUGAACCUUUCCGACAUCGAGAGCAACGUUUGGACGGAGGACAAGUCUCAGAGUGUCCAAACCCACAGGGUGUGAACUGAACACUUAUGCAACAAGACAUUACCUUACGCACGUUCAUGUCAUUACAAGUGCAGAGAGAACUCAGUUUCUUUACUAUUUGCCUGAUAAAGGCUCGACAGAUGUGGGCCAAAUGUCACCAACGCAAACUGUACGAUUGCUGGUUUGGUGUAAUUUGUGUGAUUGAAACUUCAUGUCAUUCAACCUGCAAAACUCUCAAAACGGCCACGAUCAAGGACACAAGCUCAGAGUCUCCAGUUCUUUGGCUCUGAUCAUCACACUUGUUCCCGAAUUGGGGACAUAACUUGAGUAGAAUCAAGUGUUUCCACUGCAUUUCAAACGAAUAUUAUAACUUUUACUAACCCCCAAAUUGGCUCCAAAAUGUUUGCCUUUGUGAUGUUUAGUUGAAGCCUCUUUUCAGAUGUCUGUGAGUUUUUGACGGAUUCCCUCUAAACUGAUGUGUUGCUCUUGGGCCAAAUUAAAGAUGAGAGAAAGCAGCGAAAUCAGUUUAGGGAAAUCUUUCAGAAUCGUCACGCUGAUCAUGAACUAACAAACGUGCAACGAAUGAACAACCGAAAAAGAAGCUUCACCUACCCUCCGGACGUCCUACGGGCACACAUUGCGUUUGUGACGAGCGAGAGAACACUUCAUAAGUAAUGAAAGUUGUGU
ensembl:lncRNA